rnacentral:rRNA from 1 species
AUGGGAAACCCUGUUGAUGCACCUAAACCCUAUCAAUGGAUAUGGAAAUCAUGCUCUUUACCAAAGCAGAAAUUCUUCUUCUGGCUCUUGUUACAAGACAGAUUAAACACUAGAGAUCUACUAAAAAGGAAGAAUUUCUACAUUGAGACUAGUAAGUGUGAAUUAUGUGAUGAUGAACCUAAUGAACAUUUAAUGCAUCUGUUUUUUAGCUGUGAUUUCAGUCAAAACUUCUGGAUGAACAUUGGCUACCAAUGGAACACUGAUCAUAACCUCAUAGAAAUGCUCCUGGAGGGAAGGAAGCAAGAUACACAUGGAUGCUUUAAAGAAUGUCUGAUUGCUGGAUGCUGGAGUCUAUGGAAACACAGAAAUAGCAUAAUUUUUGACAACAAGGUCAAAAAUAUGACAUUCUGUAUUGCCACUUUCAAGGAGCACUUUUGCAUGAUUAUAAAGAAGGCAAAACCAGGAUUGAAAGAGGGCAUGCAAAGCUGGCUAGAUCAUUUGUAG